rnacentral:lncRNA from 1 species
UCUAUACGAACAUAGCCUUGUUGUUCUGUGUGGGAGGGAGGCAUUCAUAAAUAAUAUUUGGUAUAAUGAGCUUAAUACCGUGCAGCAAUAAUUUACAAGCCAAAGAGCUCAUUGUGUAACAAUUUGAUUUUCCUUUUGGAAAUGUGAGUAUAAUAAUUCGGACCUUUGAAUUCCAUCAAAUUAUGAGGGAAAAAAACCAUAAUCUUUUCUAGAAUGUGUAAGCUUAAUUAAGCUUGCUGGUCUUGCUCAGAUGCCAGAAAGAAUUUUUUCUAGAAAAGUUUGCGAAAAUCUUAAUCUUUUCCACCUGCUUUUAACCGGAAAAGGAUGCAUACCCAAUAUAUGUUCCGGUGUAAAAUCAUGCCGUGUUAAUAUGGCCACCACGGGCGAUCUCUGUGGUCACCAUGAACAAAAUAAAACUUAGUUUAGUGAACUGCAAAACAAAAAUAAUAAUAACAGUGCAUUGCAUUUAAAAAGGAUUUCUUUACAGGAAAAAACUAACGAAAACCUUGGGAUUUCUUUACAAGAAUUGUAUAACAACAUAUAAAUUUAGCACCCUAGUUAACUUUCUGAAUAAAAAUUGAAAAGCUGCAACAUGAAAUAAGCAAAUUACUUACACCGGGUAUCACGAGCAAGUGUCUUAAACCGACCUCUCGAAAAAGUAUAAGUGCCUUUGCCAGUGACAUUGUUUCCACAACAGUGUAAGGCGAAGCAUUAGUUUCUAAAUAAGGCAAACCUUUGGCUUUCAUUAUAAGGUCAUAUACAUUUGCAUUGAAAACAUUUGCUACACUCUUGGAGACCACAAGCACCAUCAUUAUUAAGGGAAGCAAUAACAGGUUAUUGGUCAGUUCUAGCAUAAUUACACACAGAGAAACUGUCGUCCUCAUAGAUCCACCAAGAAGAGAAGCGGCGCCAAGUACAGCAUAAAGGCCAUUGCUAAGAUUGGUCCGUUCUCCAACCAAUAUUCCAACCAGGCGCCCAUACGAU